rnacentral:rRNA from 1 species
UACGAAGGGGGGCUAGCGUUGUUCGGAUUUACUGGGCGUAAAGCGCACGUAGGCGGAUUGUUAAGUCGGGGGGUGAAAUCCUGGAGCUCAACUUCAGAAUUGCCUUCGAUACUGGCUUUCUAGAGGCUGGAAGAGGUUAGUGGAAUUCCCAGUGUAGAGGUGAAAUUCGUAGAUAUUGGGAAGAACACCAAUGGCGAAGGCGACUCGCUGGACAGGUAUUGACGCUGAGGUUCGAAAGCGAUGGGGAGCAAACAGG